rnacentral:rRNA from 1 species
CGGCAUGCUUAACACAUGCAAGUCGAACGCGAAAGUCCUUCGGGGCGAGUAGAGUGGCGGACGGGUGAGUAACGCGUGGGAAUCUACCCUAGAGCGGGGGACAACCCGGGGAAACCCGGGCUAAUACCGCAUACGGUCCUACGGGAGAAAGAGGGCCUCUGCUUGCACGCUCUCACUCCAGGAUGAGCCCACGUCCGAUUAGCUAGUUGGUAGGGUAAAGGCCUACCAAGGCCACGAUCGGUAGCUGGUCUGAGAGGAUGAUCAGCCACACUGGGACUGAGACACGGCCCAGACUCCUACGGGAGGCAGCAGUGGGGAAUAUUGGACAAUGGGCGCAAGCCUGAUCCAGCAAUGCCGCGUGUGUGAAGAAGGCCUGCGGGUUGUAAAGCACUUUCAGUGGGGAAGAACAGAUUCGGGUCAAUACCCCGGAGCCCUGACGUUACCCACAGAAGAAGCACCGGCUAACUCCGUG